GACAGAGGUGCCGAGCGUUAGGCGGAAUCACUGGGCUUAAAGCGUGUGUAGGCGGGCGGGCAAGUACCUUGUGAAAUCCCAGGGCUCAACCCUGGAACUGCCUUCGAUACUGGUGGUCUGGAGUCCGGGAGAGGUGAGUGGAACUCCUAGUGUAGAGGUGAAAUUCGUAGAUAUUAGGAAGAACACCAGUGGCGAAGGCGGCUCACUGGCCCGGUACUGACGCUGAGGUACGAAAGCGUGGGGAGCAAACAGG
rnacentral:rRNA from 1 species